CCGGCGGCAAAUUCGGACAAAAUAAGUAUAUCACUUUUCCUUAUUAUUGAGCGGUUUCCCGUUAUUCCGCUCUUAUCAUUUCUUUUCAACAUGAUCCGGCUUGUCAGUGAAUUGAGAGAACCAAGAUGAACAGAGAAAGCAAGCUUAUGAGGCAGUUACAAGAAUGGACAACACAAGAAAUGCACUUCAACCUACAAUCCUCCAUUUCAGCGGCGUUAUAUCCUGAGAAGUAUAAAGUGUUAUGUAAAGGGCCAGGAGCUGCAAUUUGCUAUGGAUGAUGCAGCAUGUUAAGUCCACAGAGUUACAAAGUAAACUAUGAUGUGGGUGGGAACAGUUUGAAGACACCAAUAAGCCUUUCUGGAGCAAAGAGCUGCUCUCACAGGGGAGAUAACUACAACAUUGAGAGAUGUAGGCAAUUUUGAACAUGAGGUAGAGAGAAUCACAGCAGAGGUGACCCAGACAGGCACAUCAUUUCUGAUGGAUCGAAUUCCAAAUCUGAACCAGCUCCUUGAAAGUGAAAUCAUUGAUAGGUGUAGGUUUGACCGGAACGGGAUCAACUUCUUGGAAUAACUUUUACGUGCCUAUAUCCAACCCAAAGCACCACGGAACAAAGCUUUGAGUGUUGAGCAAAAUAUUUUGAUAACAUUAAGGUACCUUGCAACUGGACCAAUACAGUUGAAUGAUGGUGACAUUCACGGUGUAAGUCAGCCCACUGUUUCACCCAUCUUAACAGAAGUUAUUGAGGUAUUGUUUUUCCCUACAUUAGUGAGGCGCUUUAUUAAAUUCCCGCAGGGAAAAGAAGAGUGUGAAAGAAAUACUUUGCAAUUCCGUGGUAUUGCCAGGUUCCCGAAGGUGAUCGGUGCCAUAGAUAGCACUCAUAUACAUGUUGUGUCACCUCAUGAACAAGAAGACAUAUAUGUAAAUAGGAAAGGUGUCCACAGCAUUAAUGUUCAAGUCAUCUUAGAUGGAUCAUACAUCAUUAUAGAUGUUGUUGCCCGCUGGCCUGGGUCUGUCCAUGACAGUCGAGUUUUGCGAAAAAGCACCAUAAACCAACUUUUCGAAAAUGGCCAGAUUGCCCAUGGGUUUUAUCUGCUAGGAGAUAGUGGGUUUGCAACCAAAAGAUGGCUGUUGACCCCAUACCUAACGCCCCAGACCCCAUCACAACGAGCAUACAAUAGAAGCCAUAAAAUCACCAGAUCCUUGUUUGAGAGGGGAUAAGACAGCUAAAAAAUGAUUUGGAAUUUUGCAUAGAGAAAUUAAUCUGCAGCCAGUCAAAGUGUGCAGGUGUAAUUGUUUGUUGUGUUCUGCACAACAUUUGCAAGCAGCGAGCCAUUCCCAUGGCAGCCGUAGCAGACAACAAUGAUGGAAGAAAUGGUGAUGAUGGCAGGCCACAGCCCCAAGCUAACAAUCUUGUUGGACUUAGAUACAGAGACCACUUUGUUUCAUCCUACUUUGCUGCCUGACUGCUUUACAUUCCAGACAGCAACAUUGAUUACAUGAUUUCGAGGUUAUGAAAGCUUUAGAUUUCGUGCUAGCCUCAGGUCUGGAAAGGUGAAACGUGACAGGAACCUCCUCUGCCUCCAACACUGGCUGACAUGUAUUACAAACUUUAAUGCUAAAAUGUGCUCUCAUGUUAUUGUUAAAUUUUGCAAAAAAUCACUAUGUUGUUCAGAAUGUAUGAGUCAUUAUUACAUAUUUUCCAAACUUAAUUAUACACGAGAAUGUCAGUGAUAUAUUUUGGCAUUAUUUACACCGCCUGCUACCAAAUUGGGAUUUUCUCGACUUUGGGAAAUAUUUAUUCACAGAACAUCUUAUUAAUUAUUUUGGAAAAUAUCAUUUUAUGGGGAAAUUGAACACUUUUUCAAAAGGGGGAACAGCCCUAAGUGGGCAGUAAAUUGCACCAAAAAAUCACUGAA